rnacentral:rRNA from 1 species
CCUACGGGAGGCAGCAGUGGGGAAUAUUGGACAAUGGGCGAAAGCCUGAUCCAGCCAUGCCGCGUGUGUGAAGAAGGCCUUCGGGUUGUAAAGCACUUUCAGUGGGGAAGAAAGCCUUGGGGCUAAUACCCUCGAGGAAGGACAUCACCCACAGAAGAAGCACCGGCUAACUCCGUGCCAGCAGCCGCGGUAAUACGGAGGGUGCGAGCGUUAAUCGGAAUUACUGGGCGUAAAGCGCGCGUAGGCGGUCUGAUAAGCCGGUUGUGAAAGCCCCGGGCUCAACCUGGGAACGGCAUCCGGAACUGUCAGGCUAGAGUGCAGGAGAGGAAGGUAGAAGUCCCGGUGUAGCGGUGAAAUGCGUAGAGAUCGGGAGGAAUACCAGUGGCGAAGGCGGCCUUCUGGACUGACACUGACGCUGAGGUGCGAAAGCGUGGGUAGCAAACAGGAUUAGAUACCCGUGUAGUC